rnacentral:rRNA from 1 species
UUUUCCCAGCUGGACUAGACAUGCUAGUCGAGUGACUCAGGCAAAACGAGUCACGGCACACAGCUCAGUAACACGUGGCUAAUCUGCCCUUGGGACUAGAACAACCCCGGGAAACUGGGGCUAACUCUGGAUAGGUGAAGAACUCUGGAAUGAGUCUUUGCCUAAAUAGGUUCACGUUAUCCUCGUGAACUUGCCCAAGGAUGAGGCCGCGACCGAUCAGGUUGUUGGCGAGGUAAUGGCUCACCAAGCCUUUUACCGGUGCGGGCCGUGGGAGCGGGAGCCCGGAGAUGGGUACUGAGACAAGGACCCAGGCCCUACGGGGCGCAGCAGUCGCGAAAACUUUGCAAUAAGCGCAAGCUUGACAGGGCUAUCCCGAGUGCCAUCCGCUGAGGAAGGCUUUUACCCAGUCUAGAACGCUGGGGGAAUAAGGAGAGGGCAAGUCUGGUGUCAGCCGCCGCGGUAAUACCAGCUCUUCGAGUGGUGUGGAUGUUUAUUGGGCCUAAAGCAUCCGUAGCUGGCUAGGUCAGUCCUUUGUUAAAUCCACCGAAUUAAUCGUUGGAUUGCGGGGGAUACUGCUUGGCUAGGGGACGAGAGAGGCAGACGGUAUUUUCGGGGUAGGGGUGAAAUCCUAUAAUCCCGGGAAGACCACCAGUGGCGAAGGCUGUCUGCUAGAACGCGCCCGACGGUGAGGGAUGAAAGCUGGGGGAGCGAACCGGAUUAGAUACCCGGGUAGUCCCAGCUGUAAACGAUGCAGACUAGGUAUUUGGACGGCCACGUGCCGUUCUAGUGCCGCAGGGAAGCUGUUAAGUCCGCCGCCUGGGGAGUACGAUCGCAAGAUUGAAACUUAAAGGAAUUGGCGGGGGAGCACCACAAGGGGUGAAGCUUGCGGUUUAAUUGGAGUCAACGCCGGA